rnacentral:rRNA from 1 species
GACGAACGCUGGCGGCGUGCCUAAUACAUGCAAGUUGAGCGCUGAAGGUUGGUACUUGUACAAACUGGAUGAGCAGCGAACGGGUGAGUAACGCGUGGGGAAUCUGCCUUUGAGCGGGGGACAACAUUUGGAAACGAAUGCUAAUACCGCAUAAAAACUUUAAACACAAGUUUUAAGUUUGAAAGAUGCAAUUGCAUCACUCAAAGAUGAUCCCGCGUUGUAUUAGCUAGUUGGUGAGGUAAAGGCUCACCAAGGCGAUGAUACAUAGCCGACCUGAGAGGGUGAUCGGCCACAUUGGGACUGAGACACGGCCCAAACUCCUACGGGAGGCAGCAGUAGGGAAUCUUCGGCAAUGGACGAAAGUCUGACCGAGCAACGCCGCGUGAGUGAAGUAGGUUUUCGGAUCGUAAAACUCUGUUGGUAGAGAAGAACGUUGGUGAGAGUGGAAAGCUCAUCAAGUGACGGUAACUACCCAGAAAGGGACGGCUAACUACGUG